rnacentral:rRNA from 1 species
GUGGGGAAUCUUAGACAAUGGGGGAAACCCUGAUCUAGCCAUGCCGCGUGAGCGAUGAAGGCCUUAGGGUUGUAAAGCUCUUUCAGAUGGGAAGAUAAUGACGGUACCAUCAGAAGAAGCCCCGGCUAACUCCGUGCCAGCAGCCGCGGUAAUACGGAGGGGGCUAGCGUUGUUCGGAAUUACUGGGCGUAAAGCGCACGUAGGCGGACCAGAAAGUCAGAGGUGAAAUCCCAGGGCUCAACCUUGGAACUGCCUUUGAAACUCCUGGUCUUGAGGUCGAGAGAGGUGAGUGGAAUUCCGAGUGUAGAGGUGAAAUUCGUAGAUAUUCGGAGGAACACCAGUGGCGAAGGCGGCUCACUGGCUCGAUACUGACGCUGAGGUGCGAAAGCGUGGGGAGCAAACAGGAUUAGAUACCCCUGUAGUCC